ensembl:lncRNA
ACUAGAUAGGAGACUGCACUUGUAAACCAAAGAUUGUUAUUAAUAGCAGUAUUUUCCUCUUGAGUGGCAGGUUAUUAUGGAAUGAAACUUAGCUUUCAUUCUGAAGAACUGCAGCUGCACUUGAAGUGUGACAAUUCUCUCCAGCUAUGGACGGGUCUAGAAAAAGGAUGCUCCAAAUUCAAAGGAUUAUUUCUGCUUACAGAGGAUCCCUGCUAGGACAUGACCUAUGCAAAAGGAGGCAACCGACACUAUGCUGACACAUGGCAGAUCAGCAUACCCUCAUGCUCUGAAGGCUGCAAGGUGUAUCGUUUAGUGGAUGAGAGGGGAAAUCAUGUCAGCCAUGAGAUAUGCCUCACGUCCUGCUCCUCUGCAUUUCCUCUGGGACACUCUGCUGGCGCUACUGUAGUGGAGCAGCCAUUUCCCAAGGACACCCGGGAAGGGAG